rnacentral:rRNA from 1 species
GACGAACGCUGGCGGCGUGCUUAAUACAUGCAAGUAGGACGCAGUUGCGAACGGGUGAGUAACGCGUAGGUAACUACCUAUUAGAGGGGGAUAACUAUUGGAAACGAUAGCUAAUACCGCAUACUAGUAGAUGGACCUGCGUUGUAUUAGCUAGUAGGUAGGGUAAAGGCCUACCUAGGCAACGGUACAUAGCCGACCGGUGAUGGUGAUCGACACCACUUGGACGGUGGCACGGCCCUGACUCCUACUGGAGGCAGAAGUGGGGAAUCUUCAGCAAUGGGGGGAACCCUGGCCGGUCAACGCCGCGGGAGAGAAGUGGGUAUUCGGAUCGUAAAGCUCUGUUGUUAAUGAGGCGGUACUUAGCCAGAAAGGGACGGCUAACUACGUGCCAGCAGCCGCGGUAGUAC